CGGGAGCUCAGGCCCGGCCAGCCCGUGACAGCGGUGACCCACGCCCCCGCCGCACCGGCCCAGAUCGGGCGCCUCGCCUCGGGCGCCCACGCGGAGCAGCGGCUCCCCCUUAGCAGGCGGCCGGGCCGAGCCCACUCCCCGCGCCGGAGCAGCGAGCGGCACGGCAGGUCCGAUCCUGCGUACUUCCCAGCAGCGUUUGUCAGCAAGACAGCAUUCCUGCCUGAGGUGCGAGUUCCGCCCCGGGAGGGAAGCCCCGGCCUCCUGUUCCCCGCGCCGCGCAGCUCCGUGUGCUGCAGCCUGGUGCGUGGCUCCGGAUCACAGCGGGACGACGGGCCCGACACCAGGUGUUCUCCACUGCUUCCAGGUUCACGUGUACACCAUGGGAAAGGAAUUAGCAAUCAUGGAGACUUAGAGCAAGGCUCUGAAACAGUGCUGGUGAACCCAUGGCACACGUGCGCAGUAGGCUGUUUGAUAUUACUGAAAGCUCUAAAAGGUUUUCCAGCGCUGCUCUAAAACCAACGCUGCCCCUGCCCUGCUGAAAUACAGACUCCUCCAUCCACCAGCUGUGUGCCUGGGCCUCAGUUUCUUCAUCUGUAGAAGAGAAGUGAUUGUGGCAUCCAUCCCCUGUAAUUGCUGCCGAGGUCAUGUGAAGCCUGACAAAGAGAAUAUUACCAGGCAUGGAUGCUGUCAUGAUAUCAGACUGCUACAAUAACUGUUUUAAAAUGCUGAGGAAGAAGACAUUUUCAGGACUCUCUGGUGAGCUUUCUCUUGGAAGAAAGGAGUGGAUGCCCAGAGCAAGCAGGAUAUGGAAGAUGGAAGAUGGAAGAUGGAAGAUUCUGGAAGAUGCAGGUUAACAGCUGGAAGAAACAUUUGGAAAAGAGUCUGCAAUGGGAGAGCUGUAUAUUGUAGAAAACUUAUCACUGUGCCAUCAGAUAAAGCAAAUCUCUUUAAAAAUCAUUUUUACUAUAGCUAUUAAAAUCUAACAUCUAUUACAAUUUCUAUCAGACAGGUAUCUGCGGUUAUCAGGAUAUUGUGUUCCUCUGAGGUGGAGUAUGGCCAUCGUCACAUGGAAGUGGUCUUUAUUUCAGAGUAAAAAUAACUGGUUUUCAGUUCUCUGAGGUUCUCAAUACGUAGAGGGCAGGGAAACCAAAUUAUUCUUCAUUGAUCCCAUGUUAACUAGCACAUAAGCCCAAUAAUGGGGAGAAAUGUGGAAAAUUUUCUUUUUAUGAGAGACAUGCCUAUAGUGGAGAUCCAUUUUUAGAGUAAAAAUUAAAUUAUUAUAUGCAAGGAAACAAAAAAAGAGUGAAUGAUGUAUUAUUUAGAAUUUUAGCUUGAAGAGCAAUUUGGAUAAAAGGGACAACAGACACAAUAGGGGAGGAAAGAUAGUAGGGAACUGUUUCUUUAGGAAAAAUAACAGAGAAGAAAUUCAAAACAGGUCGUUUGGAUUCAUGCCCUUACGUUCAGUUCACAGGCACACUUAAUAAAUAAAUGCAAACUGUUAUAAUUAACAUGACAAAAGAAGAUGUUUCUAAUGAUGCUAUAAUUAUUAGAAGAAACUCCUUGUUUAACGAUUCAUUCCUCUCAUAGGAGAGAUCGGGUGUAUGUAAAUUUUCCAAAGUAAGCUAUUCAGCCCUCUCAUAUCUGUGUCUCACCCGUAUCUUACAAUAAUAAAUAUAUAGUUCAUAUUUACUGGAGACAUUAGGCCCAUGAAGCAGAGAGGGACAAGUAGCCCUUGAAAGAAAACAAAAGGACAAAGAAGUUCAUGCUAGUUAUAUGAUCACUACUAAGCAUAUCAUUGUCGCAGGUCAUAUGUUCUACAAGUUGCCACGGAAGUGUUCAGUCUUCUUUCUACUCUUUCAGAACCUUACCAUCCUCUCACCAGAGAACUGGAGUUUAUCUCCCUUCCCCUUGUAACUGAAGGCUGUGUGUAGGGUUGCAACGCAUAGAAUGCAGCAGAAGAGAUUGAGUGACCUCGGAGACUCAGUUAUAAAAGAUCACAUGGCUGUCACCCAGCUCUUUCUCCUGGAUGGUCACCAUUGCUCCCAGCCUCCAUGUUGUGAGGAAGCCCAGCUCACAGUGAGGUUGCAUGUCAACAGUCCCGGCUAUGGUGUUACACAGAGAUAAAGAACUAGAAAAGCUAAUUUGGCCAAGCAGGAGAGAAAUGACAUCUCCCAAUAUGGACUACAACUGUAGAACAGUUGAGAAUAGCAGUGUGUAGAGCACAAGGAGUUUAUUUUAGGUAAGCUGUUGUUUCAGCACAAUACUUACAUCACAGUGGGGACAUAGCACAACUUCAUUUAAUUACAUGGAAACCACAUACUGAUGAAACCAGGUAUCUCGACUUUCUGUGUUUCACUCCAACAAGAAGAUUAAAGAGUCAGUACAAGUAAAGGGGACCUCUGUUACCUAAUCUCUCACAAAUUCUUUCUCCUGUGCUUUCGGUGAUAGCACGCUAUCAUUAUUUCUCUGCAGUUAACGAACUACUAUAUCAUGUGCUUGAUUGAGCUGCCGCUGAGGUUCUUUAGCUGCUUGUUGCAUGGGAAAGGUAAGGAUUGUGUCUGGCUGAGAACAGGAUGCGUCUUCCCCAGAGUGGCAGAGUUAGCACAAGAAUGGAGAAGUCAAGCAAGGGGAGCCAAGCAGCAUCUUCCCAGAGAUGGAUAAAGAGGGGUGCACCUCUUGCUCUACUUAUUCUUUAGCUGUAAGGACACCAGCAGCCAGUUCCUCCUGGAAAAAGUCUGGACUCAUAGAGCCAGGCCAUGGAAUGAGAGGCUCCAUCCAGAGCGAUGGCCCACAAGACCCCAUGGCCAGUCGUGCCCCAUGCUACUUGUGUCCCCUGUUUUCUAGCUAGGGAUCCAAAAACUGCCUUUUUUGGCUACUUGUCAGCAAUAAGCCCUAAAUGGUAUUUAUGGAAACCGUUCAGCCAAUAUGAAUCAUUUUGAGACAUGCACAUAACAGGAACACAAACGCAUGGUUAUCACAAUGUUCUCUUGAGAGGCAAAACGCUCAGGAAAAUACAGCGGGAAAUUAGGCAACUCAGAUCAAAUCACAGCAACUGUUCCAGAACAGCACCUAAAAAGGGAGAUAACUCAGAAACAUUAGAAAAUUCUAAAUGAAAGGAAUUCUAACAUAAAAUCACAAACACAAAGAACCUCAGUAUUACACAAAAGACCUAAAAAGAAAAAAGACAGGAAGGAAGGAAUGAAAGGAAGUGAAAGAAAAGAAAAGAAAGUCAUUUCUAUUCCUUGAUAAUAAACUUGUUGCCAUCUGUUUCACAGUAACACGAUGGUUUCAUUUCCUCCAAAUGAAGCAAAUAUUGGAUAUCAAAAAUUGAGUUGCAAAAAUAAUUGUUUUAAAGGAAAUAAAAGAGGUUAGGCCCUAAACAGUGAUGGAUGGCCCAAAGUAACAUUUUUUUUCCUUGCAGAUAUUUUAAUGAUAAAUGGAUUCUCUAGUCAGAAGUACAUUUUGUACUAAAAGAGGGAAUAAGAGGAAUUUACCCAGAAAGUUGUAUGAACAGCCACGGGUUGUCUUGGGCUAUUGUAAUUCAAGAGUUUGUGAGAAUUCAAAAGGUGCCAAGGCUGAUGCAAAUCAUACCAAAGUUAUAGGAAUGGCCUUUUUAUUUGCAUCCCGAGCAAGGACAGUAAAAAAGGGACCAGUCCAUUUCACGGAUCAGAACGUAGAAAACUAAGUGGUGUGAAGUGGGUGCGGUUCUAGUUCGCUGGCAUCUUCUAUCAACGAGAAUGACUUCCACCCUGGGAAAGGUGGAAUAGAUAGGGCUGUCGGAGUGGAAACCUGAGGUGGAUUGGUAGGUAGUAGAGUGCCAAGGUGCUGAGGAGAGAAGCUCUUGCCUCUGAGUCCAGAGCCUGGUGCCCUGUGUCAUCACCUCUGUGGUCCCCAGCUCAGGGGAAACCGGCAGCACUGGCCAAGGAGGGGCCGGGCAGCUCAGGGAUGCAGUGGGUGCUGCAUAUGUGGAGGGCCUGGGUUUGAGUCUAAGCAACCCCUCCCCAAGAAAGGUCAUUAAAAGUCACUCAAAUUUGUUUUAAAGUAGUAAACUUAGAUGCUAGGAAACUAGACUUUUAUGUAUUUAAAAAUUGUAGGACUUAGUAUUAAAUUAGUUUAACAAACAUUUAGUCAAAAGCCAAACCAAAAGUAAACAAUGAUUGCUAGACGCAGAAGUGCACACCUAAAUUCCCAUCACUUUAGAAGGCUGAGGCAGGAGGAUUUUAAAUUCAAUUCCUACCUGGGCCACCUCCUGAUACUACGUCUCAAAAAAUAAAAUAAAACACUAAAAUGAAAGAAGGC
rnacentral:lncRNA from 1 species